rnacentral:rRNA from 1 species
CAGUAGCCACGGGAAUACGGAGGGUGCAAGCGUUAUCCGGAUUUAUUGGGUUUAAAGGGUCCGUAGGCGGACUUAUAAGUCAGUGGUGAAAGCCUGUCGCUUAACGAUAGAACUGCCAUUGAUACUGUAAGUCUUGAGUAUAUUUGAGGUAGCUGGAAUAAGUAGUGUAGCGGUGAAAUGCAUAGAUAUUACUUAGAACACCAAUUGCGAAGGCAGGUUACCAAGAUAUAACUGACGCUGAGGGACGAAAGCGUGGGUAGCGAACAGGAUUAGAUACCCCCGUAGUCCAUGUCUCUUAUAC